UCCAAUUUCCCCAACUGCUUUCACUUUAAAGCAGACUGCUGACAGAGGCGAGCCAAUGGGAAAGGUUUGUCUGACAUUUUGAUAAAAAAAAAAAAAAGCAGCCCAGACACAAGCUGGAGGACAGCAGCAUGAAUUGCUCUCCUCUCUCCCUCUCCUAUUCUCCCUUUUUCUCCUCUCCUUUCUUCAUUUCUUUUCAGUCUGUUCUUCUGCCUUUUGUUUUAAUUCCAGUCCAAUCAUGUGACGUGUUCCGCAUAAGGUUUCAAUUUCAAGCUUGCCGCUGGAGUCUGCUCACAGGCACACAUGCACACGAGUACAAAUUCACACAAGAAUGCAUGUGCGUACACCGAACUGCAGAUUCUUAUGCAUACCAUGCACACACUCCCUUCAUCCUCUCGCAUCACGAAUACACACUCUUCAGUGUAGCAACGUUUUGCGCAUAUUUCAUGUGGGUGCUGCGUGGCUUCAUUUUAUCGUUUAAACAUGGUUCCCACGAGGGCACGAAUCUCCAUCCAGAGACAUUAAUAAUCACACAUAUUCAUAAAACGCAGACACAUCACAAGACAAAUUACAUAAAAAAGAAUCCCAACAGGCUAUAUUUUCGAUCCUGCAGUCAAAAUAUAUCCCAGAGUUUAUGAUACACUAGCUGAAUUUAUAGGGUCAUCAAAUGAUCUUUUUUUCCUCUAUUUUUUCUGUCUCAAUCUUUAACACAAUGCAUCAUCUCAACACUUAAUCAUGUGGAGUUAAUGAAACCAAUAUGACAUGAGAGGAAGCCAAACAUUUCAUGACAGCAGCAAGUCCAAAACCUCAGAUCUUGAUUUUAUGUCUUCAGUCCUUAGACUCUACACUGGAGAAUAAGACAUUAAUUCUUUGCUGUGCAAUGCUGAAUGACUAAUGAGUAAGGGGUUUCAUUUUUUUUUUUUUGUAUUGAUUAUGAACACUCUGUCCUCCCCCACAGUCUGGACUUAAUGCAUGUGAGUAAUCAAAAUGCAGAUAGAGAGCUACUUCUGCUUCAUUCUAAGUGACAUUCCUAAAAGCAUGACUUGACACAUGCUAAGGGACUGUCAUGAUGAUAAUUCUCACUGAGGAGCAAAAUGAAACCAUCUCUAGCUGCGUAUAAAGGAAGAAUGUAACACAGCAUGUCUCUGAGUCCUGCUGCUUCAAGGCAAAAUGUACAAGUUGUAGCUGAGCUGUUGAGUUGAAACAUUCAUUUUGAGGUUUUUUUAUACUCUGAUUAGCUAUGUGAUUGAAGUGCCAAUCUAUGAAAUAGCAGUGAAGAGUGGUAAAAGCCCUGCUCGAUUGCUCAUCUCCAAAGUCUGCAGCCUUGCAAUGAAAAGAUAAGCCUGACUGUAAAGCUGAAAGCGUGGCUGUCCAAAGAGGAGGAGGGAUCCUUUUCAUUAACUUUCAUUAAGACUAAAGGGUGAAUUACCCUGAACAGAGGAGGUUCGGCACAUAAAAGCCAUAGGGUAGGUUAAUAUAUGCAGACUCGCUCUCUCCUGCACAGAAACACAAAUGUAAACAUGUACCUAACAAACAAGGGCAGUUAUUUUGACAUACUCUUUGCACACAAACAUGCAAAUCAACCAUUAGCCUAUUUAUAGCACACAAACAAAGCAAAGACCAUGGAAACAAAAUGCUUCUAUCGCCCAUGUACUGCUGUGCUUCUGUAUGGUACAUAAUAUGUUGUGAAGAGGUGGGCAACAGUAAGAGGGAACAGUAUUUGUAGUGGCUGGUAUAGGGCCACUGUUAAGGUGGGGAGGGGGUUAUGCAGCCUAUGUGUAUAUAAGGGGGUGCUCUGUGUGCAUGCAUCCCUCUGUGUGUAUUUGUGUGUGUCCAUAUGUGUCUGUGCUGUAUGUGCGGAGGGAGGCGAAGCAGAGCGGAGCGUUGCAGUAGGACAGCAUUUCUGAGCGGUGGUAAUUUCCCCUGAGGCCAGCGAGCAGGUAAAGGCCAGCAAGAGAGAGGGGAAGGGAGGGAGGGAGGGAGGGAGAGAGAGAAAGAGAGGAUAGAAGAGGGCUGGGAGGAAGGCAGAGAGGCGGUGAGCACGUGUGUCAGAGAAUAAUGAGGAAUGAUACAGUGGCGGUGGAAAAGAGGCCGGCAGAUUCUACCAAUCAAACGCAUACAUACACACGCAGACUGCUUUGACAGCAACUCAAGGUUGAAUUUAGUCGCUUUCAUUGUCAACACAUUAAUGUUUCAAUUUUUAUUUCAAAUGCCUUAUCUUGUAAAUGAGUCUCUCUGAACUGAGUCAUUGUUUUUCUAAUGAAUUCGUCUAUUAAUUACAAGCUCGCCUUUUCCUGAUGACCUUGCUUUAUUUUGUUACACACUGCAGACCUUAAUAUUAGCAUACAUUAAGCCCUGCUUAUCUUUCAUCCCCAAUAGCUAAUACCUUAAAUUAUCAACCCCCCUUCCCUCCCCUUAAAAAAAACUGAAUAAACCACAACCGUGACUGGUGCAGUGUGCAUAUGUCUAUGUGUGUGUUUGUGGGUGAGCACCCUCACUUAUUAGCCCCCUCCUCCCCCACUCACAAACUCAUUACCAGGGUAUAAGACCUGCGUGGAUUUUAUGGUGUUUUGGGAACUGACUGGUUAAUCAGAUUUAUUGCACACUUAAGCUUAAUUGAUUGCCUUUAUGGAUUCAAAUGAAUAAUUAAGUGCUAACAAGCCUAGUUUCUGUUUCAUCAUUCUCAAAUGAUUAUAGUGACCCACAGAGAAGCAAGGUAGUAGAAGUGUCAAUCAAAAAACGACAACGCCACAGGAUGCAUUCUGCUUUUUAUGGCCUGUUUGAUUUAAAAUCUGUUGUAAUAACUCUCAUAUCACUUAUAACACUCGCACACAUAAUCCUUUGUAUCUUCACAAACACAAAAACCAGAGAUCUACUUAUCUGUCAAAUGUUUUGCUCUUUACAGGCCCCUCAGCUGUUAUCCUUUAUGUUUCUAUGAGAAACUAAGCUAUAUACACUGUUCUGUAGCAGCGGUGAAAGGACACACAGUGUAUUAAGAUCAAGGCGGUCCAAACGGAGACAACAUAUCCUGACCUUCACAUGAUCUUCACUAGAUCAAUACUAUCAUCAGCGCAGACGAGCGGUCACAGAUUAACCCAGCCUCCUUUAACAACCCCCAAUCCAAACACACACACACACACACACACACACACACACACACACACACACACACACACACACACACUCUCUCUCUUUCCCUGUCUCUCACACACACAAUAAAACACACACCUUAUUCAGUGAGGGCCCUGGGUGUAUUGAUUGGCUUGUAUUGACUGACACACAGAAGUACCACAUGUACACACUUGCUUGUUGACUUUAUUUUUCACUGGCUAGCCUACAGUGGAUCGUGGGGAAGUCCUAUUGUAGCUGCACGGAUCCAAAAGUGCAGAAACAGAAGACAUACAUUGAUUAAUAUCCUCGAUAUGUGUGGAAAAAGACCAAAACAGGAAAAUACUUUUGUUUGUUUAAAAAAAAAAAAAAAGUCCAAACGCCUUCAAACGAAAGGAGCGUCUUCUUCCAUAUAUGCUUACAGUGGAUUAUCGAGUACAAAAAUGAUUGCUUCUGCGUUAACAUUUGCUCUUGCAAUCGAGAAAAGGACUUGCAUGUUAUUUAUCACGCGCCUCAGCGUAUGCAUUCAAACAAACAUCAAAAUCUGACUCCCCAUCAGCCAUUUCCACAAAAAUAUGCACCAAAGCAGAGAGCAAAAACAAGCAAAUCGAUGUCUACGCAUCUGCAGGUGGCCAGAAGGCAACUAACUCAAUCCCACAUCCAAUGUAAAUGUUGGUGGCGUAUCCACAGGCAAGGACUGGUAUUUAGAAGUCCAUUAACACAGGGUGGAGAUGGGUUAAUUCACUGUUUGUAGCGAGAGAUCUAGGGAGGUUUAAGGGCAUUCAGAGAGGAGGAGGGGGGCAGCAGCAAGAAAAAGAGAGGGGCUCUGAUAUUUGAUAAGAAAGAGAACAGAAAGACAAAAAUAAGUGCGUGGAGGAGAAUGUAGAAAUGUGGAGGUAGAUUUGAUGGGGGGGUGGGGGGUGUUAUGGGGAAGUGUUGUGUUGAUAGGUGGGUGUGUGUUGGUGGGAGGCAGGGGGGUUGUUUUGAGCGUUGCUGCCUGCUAUCAUCCACCUCAGCCUGGGCGUCAGUUUGAUUAAUGCUGCUUUCCUCAAACUGACCUCCAAGGUCACUGGAAUAGUGGGUACUCAGCCUCUCCUAUUCGCUGCUGCACUGGAGGGGGGUAACGGCCGUAUAAUACGCUCCCCCAGAGGCUUUCUCUCUCUGUAUUUUCUGUUUUUCCCUUUUCCUGUCUCCCUUUAAACUCUUUCACAUCCUCUCUGUCUGUCUGUCUGUCUGUUUGUGCCUCUCCUUGAUCUGCCCUUCUUCCCUUCCUACGCUCUUUAUCCCUCAUCCGCAUCCAUCUCUUUCUCCCUGCUGCCAUUUCUCUGUCUCUCUAUCUAUCUGACUCCCUUGCUCUCUAUCCACCAGUGCUCUCUAAUCUGAAAUGCAAUUAAAAGCCGCAAUAAUGUUAUGUGUUUGAAAACACUGAUGAAAGAAAAGGGGGAACAGGCCUGCGAGCGGCCCCAGCAAGGUACAUGUAAACACAAACACACACACCACCACCACCACCACCACUCAGCACCCCCCCUUCACAGACACACUGCCAAGGUGAAGGCACAUGAAUAGAGUUGUCCUACACCAAGAGACACUUGGCAAUGACACACUUCCUCUGGCUGAGAAGCUUGUGACAAGUGCUACUUAUUGUGCCAGCCGGUCUUUUCCUGGCAUGGAGCUGGCAAGAGAGGAGUCACAUACAGAGAGAGAGUGAGUGAGAGAGAAAGAGAGAGAGAGAGAGAGAGACAGAGAGUAAAUGAGGGCACUGAUUGUUCUUAAGUCGACCAACCUCCUUUGAUCAAUCAGCGAUUAGAGUUCUGUAUUGAUUUUUUUUAAAAGGCUUUACUCGACUUUAAUUUUUCUUUUAAAUGGCGAGACCAGAUUAUCUCGGCCUGAUCAUCAUUUCAGAUGUUCUUGCUUUCAGUUGACACAGUCAGCUAUUUUCUGCUCACAACCAUCAAUUAAACGCCUUUAAUGCAAACAAUAAUUGACAAAGUAAGAAUCAAUUUACUGAGAGAGGCAAAGAGCAUGUGCAUUUGUUAAACUGUGUCUAGUUGCUGUGAUCGACAUUAGAAAACACUGCCGCCACUUCUUCCUCCUCCUCCUCCUCAUUAGUACAUCUGCAUCUGCACAGUGAGGGUGUUGAUGCACAGGACUCUGCCAGGUGUUUUCUGCUCAUCACUCCAUCUUAAAGGGAGUAAAAGUUUUCAGCUGUUUGAUAAUCAUUCAAACUCAUGGAUGUCAAACUGAACUUCUGUGUUGUGUUUUCUCUCGACAGUUCCCAUAGCACUACGCCCACACGACCGCAGCCUCUUACGAUUUUUAUUCAAUGCUUCUUUGAGUCUUAACACCCACUUCAUUUCAUGAAAAGUAACUCAGGGCUAAAUUUACACAGGACAGUAAAGUCCUUUUAUGUCUACUCUUUUCUCUUAAAUUGACAUAUGGCCUAGACCCAAGUCUUACUGUGUAAGUUGGAUUGGGUCCUUUUCCCUGUAGAGUCUCAGGUUUGCGUACUAAAAUGUCUAAUACUUUAGUAAAUGCAAAUGAAUCUGUAAUGGCACACCUGUCUACCUAUCUACAUACCUAUGCAUGAAAAGUUUUCACCAAGCUAAGGUUAGCCAGCCCAUUAGUCAAGGAUUUAGACUGCAGUCCUGCUUUUCAGGGCUCCUGAUUCAACUUAGACUUGAGCAUUGGCAGCAUUUGGACUCAGAAGAGAGGGGCUCAGACUUAUUAAAUGGUAAAGACAAGGUUUCUGCGGGUUUCAACAAGUCAAAUUUAAGACUUUUUAAGACCAUAGUGAAUGGAACUUAAGAUCCAUUGUACAUCCAUACUGGCAAAAAAGUACAAAAGACAUGAAGGGAAAUCUGAACAUUUUAAACUAACUUCAAAUCAAAGUUUAUUUUGACAUUUUUAAGACCUUUCAAUUUUGUAUUUAAGACAUUUUAUGAGGGUUUUAAGACAAUUUUAGACAUUUUAAGGCCUUGAAUUAAAAUGAUUAGAUUUUAGACAUUUUAAGACUUUUUAAGACCCAGUAGAAACCCUGAAAGACUAAUACAAGUUAAAUAAAUUGGAUCAAAAUGAUUGUGUGUUCACUUUAAUGGACAAUCACAGUUUGUCUUGCUCAGCAUCAGUCCUUGUCAGAGAUGCCAUGAUUCGAGAAUUUAGCUUUUUAAGAUUUUACAGUAAAUGCAAGACAGAGCUUAGCAAAAGGUGCGGCAAGAACCACAGAAGAGAGGACAGGGGAAACCUCAAACUGGAAAAGACAUCUGUAAAGUCAGUUGGUCUGUUGAUAACCUUAAUGUCUAUUAGCCACUGAGUCAAAGGUGUUUGGCAAGCUAGAGUUUUAACCAUUAACAAGUUGGCUUCAGGUUUUUUUUGGUUUAUUGUGGAGAAUGUGUGUCCCCAUGAAGUAGGGCUGGGUGAGAAAACGAAAAAAUUAACAAUACCGAAAUUUACCACAAUAACUGACGUCAUUUUGCCAAUGUCAAUAUAAUCGGUGUCAAAAAAUAAAUAAAUAAAAGUUGGUUUUGAAUGUGUGUAGGUAGGUUAUGGUCUCAUGUCCCUUUAAGAUGCUAUCCUACAUCGGAGGCGUGACUCCACCCCAUCCAGUCCGUAACAAAGAGGCAAAGACAGGUGAGGAGAUGUGGUUCAAAAGUUGUAGCGGCUAGAGUGGUGGCUGAAGUGGAUGAAGUUAAUGUGGGAGGGGGGUAAGCAGUUUGUGGAGUAGUUAUUGUCCAUUUAUUUAUCGAGGUGAACAGCUCAAUAUAUCAUGAUACUGAUUUGAGGCCAUAUCGCCCAGCCCUACUAUCAAGUAAGGCAUGCUAUGCACACUGCUGUCUUCAAGAAAAAUUUAAAUCUACAGGCACACAAACAGAAUCUAUGACCAUUGGUAAAAAUAAAAGUAUCUAUUCAGCUUUUUAGUUGCUUUACAUGAUUUACAGCUUCAACUGUUCUUUAAUUAUUUCAGAUUCGUGUCCUUUGAAAACCCUCGUUUCAUGUCUCUGUCCGAAACACUUCAUUCUCACUUCUGUCUCUCUUUCAUGUUUACUUUCUACUAAACUUGUGUUAUCUGGAAUAAUUCUAAACGUAUCAAUGUAUGGAACCACUUCUGGUUUUUAAGUGACAGCAACAAAAAUGGACAUCUCUGUUCCAAACUUCUGCCUCUAUUCUUUUCUGCAGACAAAGCUGAACCAACGUGUUGUUUUAAAAGUAUGUGCAGAGACACCAAUUGCAUCCUGGAGAGUUAGCUACACUGUGCACGAUCAAUUUGUCUCACACUCUGUGCCCUCCACCCCUGCCAAACCCCCUCCACCCUCGUUCCUUUUUUUUCCCUCUGUCUCUCUCUCUGUUUCUUUUUUCCAGUCAGUGCCUGAGCAUGGGGGACACACAUACACACACACACACACACACACACACACAGACUCUACAGAGCAUCAUGAAUCUUUCAUGCAAGCGGGCUGUAUAAUCCCUGAGGCGUGCUCUCAGAGACCCACACACACCCUGCCUCCAUCACCUUGCACCAGGAGAGAGAGAGACAGAGAGAGAGAGAGAGAGAGAGAGAGAGAGAGAGAGAGAGAGAGAGAGAGAGAGGGCGAGUGACACGUACAGACAAAAAGAUGGAUGGAGAAAAGGAGACAUGCAGAGGGAAGGAGGAGGGAGGCAGUGGAGAAUGGAAAGGAGGGGAGAAGGGAGGGCAGGAGUGGGAGCAGCAAAAGACAAAUUGAAGGUGUGAAGUGGGACCUGGCUGGAAUUGCUUCUGUCUUUUGACCACUGAGGGAAGGAUAAAAAGGGAGGUAGAGGAGAUAACAAUAGAGAGAUUUGCUCUUAUUCUAUUCGUCCUCUGAAGGCUGCAUUGGAAAGUCAAUUGGCUUCUCAUUACCAGUCCAUGAAUGAUAGCACCACAUUAAACACUCUGUCCACCCCCAUCCUCUAAACAGCCCCCUGGAAACACACAUAUGCUGUAGACAAUGGUGUUAAGUAAAUAUUAAGACAUUUACAUUGAUGCGCAUCAGUAAUAUCAAUCAGGGCUUCAAACUUCCUUUAUCGAUGCAAUAAUGAAGGGAAUGCACAAUGAAAGAGGAAAAUGUAAUUAGACCACUCAGAAAUCAAAAACUAUUUUACGUUAUAAAGUAUCCAUCAUCGAUUUAGAUGGAUUGGUUAAACAACUAUCCAAUUAAAUUGCUGCUAAAGCACACCUGCACAUCAAUUCCCCUAAAUAUGCCAUUUCGUUUUUAAUCUGUUAAGAUAUAACCCCUUACAGUGUUGUUCAAACUGAUAAUUAACAGGAUUUAGGGCUGGGCGAUAAGCCGAAAAUUUACUGAUCCUGAAAAUUACGACAAUAACCAACGUCAUUUUGCCCAUAUUGGUAUAUUUAGUGUAAAAAAAAACAAAAAACAAAUAAAAGUUGGUUUUGGAUGUGUGUAGGUAGGCUAUGGUCUCACGUCCCUUUAAGACGCUGCCCUAAGUCAGAAACGUGACUCCACCCCAUCCCGUCAAUAACAAAGAGCGAAGGACAGGUGAGGAGAUGGAGGAUGGUUCAAAAGUUGUAGCGGCUGAAGUAGAUGAAGUUAAUGUGGGAGGGGGUGAGCAGCUUGUGGAGUCAUUAUCGUCCAUUUAUCACUAUAGAGGUGAACUGCUCAAUAUAUCGUGAUAUUGAUUUGAGGCCAUAUCGCCCAGCCCUAAAAGGACAAACACAAUCUCUUUUAAAGUUGAAAUAUUCAAUCUCAGCACUUAAAGGGGACUUUAAGUAUCUUUCAAAUGGGUUUGUACAAGCGUCACUGUUUUUGUACUAUUUGCUUCUCCAACACACACCUCUUUGGUAUGAGUCAUUAAAAAAAUGACAAAUCGUCAGACACAAACCUACAAAUAACGUCUUAGACAAAAACAAUGAGCCAGGGCACACAGAUUGUGUGUAUAAUGAUGAAAAGAUGCUGGAAAGUUCAAGUUUUGUGCCCUUUAAAUUUUCCAUUUUACAAUCUCCUCGAGGAAAGGUGGAUCACGGGGAGAUUUCUUGUUGUAUGCCACCCCUUUUCAUCCUCCUCCCUCGGAUAAAUACCACAUAAUAGCUUCCCCUACAGACUCCCAGCGCAGUUGAUUAGUGUCAUACUGGCUCUCUUUGGUGUGUCAGACUGAAUGCAGGUUGUCCAGGUUAGUUGCUAAUGGAGUGACAAUGGAGGACUCACAGGGCGCAAGACAGCACAGGGGUGGCUGCAGCUUUAAUUACCAGAGACCAGUCAACACAGCGGAAAAAAAAAAAACCCUCACACUGGCCAGAUGAGCUUAUUAUGCCCCCCAACCUCGCACCCUCACACCCCAGGCCACUGAUUUACUAUGACACUGAUUAACAAGACUGGAAGUGGAAGUGGGAGGGUGUGCAGGCACAUCUUUAAUAGUACGACUGUAGAUGUGUCUGAAAUCAUAUAUCUGUGGUAGAAGGAGCAAAUAUUAGAGCUAUUUCCCCCGUGCACACAGCAUUUAAUAAAGUCCAGAGUCAGAACAGGAUAUCUCAAGGUGUUCAAAACAACCAAGAGGAAGGUUGACUACUGGAGAAGUAAUAACUCCUUCAUGCACUGCUUUUGUUAACAACUUAUAAUUUGUGUAGAUAUAAGUGUGUAUCUUCUCAGUAUGUGUCUGAGUGUUUAUGCCACCUUAAUGCUCAACAUCCACAUUAGUGAUAUUCAUGAGUGUUUUUCAAAGCUUGCUGUGGGUGAGCACACUGACACAUUGAGAGUGUGUGUCUGUGUCCACCUUAAAUGCAUAAUGUGUGUUUUAAAGGGGCCAAUAGGUCGACCGUUUCCCUCUUUGCGGCACCUUGCCCUCACUCCCAUUACUGCUCCCUCACGGUCUCAGCUACAAUUCACAAUGCACUCUCGGUCUGAGCACCACCUACCAAAUACAAUUAAGGUGAGUUAUGACCACUCCAUAGGAGGGUGUAGGGAGGAAGGGUGGGGUGAAGUGUGCUUGUAUGAGUGGGUGGAUAUGUGUGUUAACUAAGAGAUACAUUAAAGGGGAGGGAGUGAGAGUAUGCAUCAUUGGGACAUGCGAAAAUCACCCGAGGAGAGCUACAUGUAGCAUUUUGGGGGGCACACACGCUCAUUUAUGCAUAAAUUUGAGAUCUGAAGUCAGUGAAAACAGACUGGGUCUGUACCCCAGUGGAACAGAGCAGAGGGGGAAAGUGGGUGCUAGGUGGAGAUGGAAGGUGGGAGGGAGACUGUGGGUGGUGGACAGUGCAGUGCCAAUUUCACGCCUCCGCUCAUCUCUGCCUCCUCCAGCUGCACGCUGCAUGCACUCUUCUCCUCCCCCACUCCCUAUACACACAUACACCCCUUUCUCCUAUAACUUACCCCCCCCCCUUCAAUGUAUCCCUCUACUCCCCUCCCAACCUCCUUUCUCUAGGUUGGUGCGACAACCCGGUGGUGCGGGGAUCCAUCUCCAAAUAACAACUUAGAGACACAGUAAAGAACUGCUUUAAGAGGAAAUAUAUGAGAGACAAAAAGCAACUCAGCAGCAUGAAAGACUCCCAGUCUUAUGUCCUGGUGCAGCCUUUAAGCACCCACAUCCAGCUCAAGAUGGAUGCCCGGGCUUGCUUCCUCCAUAUGCUUGGUGGAGCAAGGACAAAAAGAGGGCAAGGAGGGAAAAAAAACAGAAAAACACAACAGCAUGAUUUGCAUUCGUAAAGGUAACAUUUGUUUAUAGCGCAUGUGACACCUUGCUUAAUGACCCCACUGCUGAUUGAAGCAAGCAUCCUAAUUAAGCAUUAAUUACUCAACAAUAGAAGUGGCAAUUUGUGUGGUGGCAAUGCAACGCUGACAUAUUCCCACCUGAGCUAAUGUUUACAGAGCAUUAUUACCGUCGCCGCCUGCUGUGGUUAUGGCUAUCUAAACAGUCAUAAACGACAGCUCAGGCAUAUUGUACCACAGUUGCUCUAUGAGGAAGCAAUAUGUUUUACCCCUCUCUCUCUCUCUCUCUUCCUUUCACGGUAAACACAAGCAGACGGAAGACAAGCGGUGAGUUUCCUCCCAGGCGUUAAUUGGUAAAAGCAGAGGGAUUUACCGAGGCGUGCGGGUAGGCAGGCAUUGAGGGUUUUCCCUUUGUAGUGGCACAGUGUUUAUAGUCCUUCUGCUGCAGGCUGGGGACGCGUGGACUCUGCCUUUGUUUGCACCACAUCACACAGGGACAGGAGAUAAACCCUGCUGCGUUUCACAUCAUACAUAAACACACCAAGAGAAACACAAAUUCAAACACACCUGACAGAGAGGGGAAAAGGAUUAGAGAGCUGUUGGUGGACAGCCCGGAGAGCAAAUAUGUGUGUGAGUGUGUGUGUGUGUGUGCACGGGGGGGAAUUGGUUGAUGGUUUGUUGGUGUACGCAGGGACUUGGGUGUUCUUCCAGACACCAGGUGAGCUCAGUCUUCUGUGGACACUUCAUUUUUAAGACAAAUAUUGUACGGGUCUAUGACCACAACAGACUGGAAAAAAGAAGAUUAGAAAAAGUGGAGGAGAAAUAAGUCAAGCAGAGUUUUUAUUUCUGGAGUGAGUUAAAAGCAGUGAGUGGUGAGUGCAGUUUCUGCCGAAGUUUGAGAGGAAAAAGUUAGGGGGAUUGAAAAGGAAAAAAAGGAGUCAAUCAAGGAAACAACAAACUGUAAGCAAACUCCAAAUGCUUAUCAGAAUGGACAGUAUUGGAGAAAGAGAAGUGCUUUACAAAGUUUGUUGUUGUUUUAAUUAAGAGUAUCAUGAGGCAUGUGCUCCAAAUACUGUAAAUUAUUUUUGUCAUCAUAGGUACUGGAUACUAGGGAUGGGCGAUAUGGUCUAAAAAAUUAUCACGAUAAGGUUUGCCAUUCUGGUGAUAAGGAUAAAAGUCCCGAUACAAAAUAUUAUAAUCCCAAUCUAUAUUUCUGACUCAUUUUGUCUUGAGAACACCAGUUGGAGGAGUCAAAUAAGAUACUUAACCACAGGUUUGAGUGGUAGGUUACAGAGAAAACUAAUGACAUCAAACAAGUCUCAAAUGUGAAAACACUUUAAACAUUUGUUGAAAACUCUUAUUGCACAGAGUGAACAGCAGCAGAUCCUCUGUCAGAUGUCAGGUAUACCUGAUUGCACUUGUCUAAGCCCAAGUCUUGAAGGAAAUCCCUCAUGUGGAGCCUUGUUCAGUAACAAGCUGCUCAGAAACAUCCUCUUUAUUACCUUCGGCCAUGUUUGUUUGUUAUUCUGCUCUGUGUGGGCUAUGGCUGCGAGUCUGUCACUUGAGCUUAUGUCAUCAACUUGCAUUUAUCGUAUUUAUCAUGAGAUGGCAAAUAUUUAUCAUGGAGGAUUUUUCUGAGGAUAUAUCAUGAACGAUAAUUUAUCACCCAUCCCUACUGGAUACAUGACACUAACUCGAUACAAUGAGAAAUAAAAGCCUAUAUUCAGAAAGUAAAAACAGGCAAAUAUGAAUAUAAGAACUCAAUGAAUAUUAAAUAAUAUAUCCUGAUAUGUAUUGUGUUAAAUAUCUAGACUCCAGUGCAUCUUAAGGGGUAAUCAGACUUUGUUACAGUCUGUCUGUAAAAAGCCCAGAAUAGGGAUUUCACCCGAGGCAUCCACCCAUGUCUGUGGGCUAACUAACCAACAGGAGAAUUAGCCCAUUCCUGCGCCGUCAUUCCCUUGGCUCAUUUCUCCCAACCCCUAAAUUAGUGAAAUUUUCACAAAGCGAGGACACAUUAGGGAGGGAUCAGGGCAAAUGGCACAUUAUGAGUACUGUCAGAAGUGGCCUAUUAAAGAGGAUUCAGACAUUAUCGACGCCUACAUACCUGGAGAACAAUCUCAGUUAAGUUAAUAAUGUGCAAUUAAUCAUAGGUCACUUAGCUCAGGAUGGGGUAUAACAUGCUGCUAUGGAAGCGGGCCUAAUCUGCUGUCCAUCCGUCCAAAAGAAGAGCGAGAUGGAUAGAAGAAGGUUGGAAAACUGUUAUCUACUAUGAGCUGGGUUUGGUUUUUGACAGCUCGCCAGAUAUGAAUGAGUGAAGCUUUACCACUUGUCAUCCGGCCAAAAGCUUUACUUCGCAAGGCCUUUAGGGUCCUUCCUGUUCCAUUUCAUGUGAGUAUACACAAACAUGUUGCACAGGAACUGACGGACAUAUUAUUUAAUGUAGUUAGCACUGUACACAGCUUCUCUGGUUGACUUGGUUAAAGGGAUAUUCCAGUGUAAAAUUAAGUCAGGGUUAUACACUCCAUAACACCGAGUUAGACACCCCGUCGAGAGAUGAGUGUUGCCGACCCCUUGCUUCUCUAGUUAUACCAACUUUAGUAACGACCAUAUGAUAGCAAUACAGAGAGCUAUGCGCUCAAACAAAAAGCCACUCUAUAGCCACAAAUAAUGCUCAGAACAGCCGCUAACUUCAUCAACAGGACAUAUAGAGUCCCAGCCAUAGUGCUAGCCAUCAAGCAUCUUUUUAGCUUUGCCUAAUUUCGUUAGCAAAGAGACUAAACAAAACUCACCUACUCUCUUCUAGCAGCCGCUUGCUUGUAGUGAGACCUCAGGCCAGUCCAUUACUGCAGCAGGGGGGACGCAGCUCAAGGAAGAACAUUUAUGAUCAUUUCUUCAUGGAAAUGCAAUCAGACUGAGAUACUAAGGCAGAAGAACUACCACGUCUGUAGUGCAAAAUGAUUAAUACGAUGAUUAUUACCUUAAGGAAAUGAUAAAGUAAUGAUCAUAAAUGUUCUUCCUUGUGCUGUGUCACCCCGCUGCGGUAAUAGACUUGCCUGAGGUUUCCAUACAAACAAGCAGCUGCUGGAGGAGAGUAGGUGAGUUGUGUUUAGUCUUUUUGCUAAAGAAAUUAGUCAAAGUUAAAAAGAUGUUUGGUGGCUAGUACUAUGGCUAGGACCCUAUAUGUUUUGUUGAUGAAGUUAGGUGCUGUUAUGAGCAUUAUUUGUGGUAAUAGAGUGGCUUUUUUGUUGAGGUUUGUUUAUGGCUCCUCAGACUGCUGUGUAUUGCUAUCAUGCAGUCGUUACUAAAGUUGGUAUAACUAGAGAAGCAAGUCGUCCGCAAGAUUAAUCUCUCAAGGGGGUGUCCAACUCAUUGUUACGGUGUGUUUGACCCCAACUUAAUUAUACGCUGGAAUAUCCCUUUAACCUUCAACAAGAAGCUCCUGAGAUACCUGAUAAAUGUGAUUGUCCAUUUGUCAAGUUUAAACCAUCAAAAGUGUCCAACAAUGAAAAUUUUUCUGAGUACAACAAUCUCUCAAACCGCUCUAUUUUGCCUCUAUUGGUCACUGUCCUUCUGUGUCGAUAUAAAAGGCUUCUUCCAAGUUCACAGAAACAAAAUUAACUUUUACGUUCAGGUAAAAAUCAGCUAAUUUAAACAUGAAUACAAACAUUAAAUCCUUCUAAAUCUUAAAUUGAAACUUUAAGGUCCCAUUUCCCCUUACCUGAUUUUUUUUCACUCCUUUGCAAACAGAAUAUAAGUCACGGGUCACCAUUUUUCCUACCUCUCCAUGUUUUACAAAUGUGCGACAUACAAAAAUCGUUGUGCAUCUAUCAGUCUACGGAAGUACAUCAUGUUUUCUCAGCCAGAGAGAGAAAAAAAAGAGGAAAAAACACGGGAUAAAGUGAGGAUGGAGAGGCAUGUAGGUGUAAGAAGACGGACAGGUACCACAGACAGAGGAUAAGGGAGUAUAAUCUGAUAUCAAAACAGCAAUGGAAAAGAAAUAGGGACCUAAUCCAUCGCACAGUGACAGGAAAAAGAUGGAAGGGAUGGAGAGGAUGAGAGAGAGAGGUGGAGGAACGGAGGGAGUGAGAGGAGACAAGCAGGGGAAAAAUUCACUUCCACAGUUGGCUGAUCUAGGAAAUCCUGCAAUCUUGCCGCAGCCGGAAAGCAGAAGUAGAUGAGCCAUGUCUCUCCAUCUCUCAGCCCUUCUCUCUAUCCAUCUUCCUCCCUUCCUUUCCUCUCUCACUCAUUCUUCACAUGAGUUCACUUCUCUCUUUUCCCCUCACUCCUUUGUUCUCUUCCCCACUAUCUUUACUACAUCGUCUGUUGCUUCCUGAACUGGCUCAGUCCCCCCCCUGCCUUCGACCCCCACAUCCCUCUUCUUUCCUCUCAUGAUGUCCGGAGCUGUUUGACUAGCGCUCGAGCCAGACUAUAGCCCCCAGUGGGCUCAUUUCACACCUCCAGGCUUGAUGCCAGCCAGUCGGUCAGCAUGUGGUGUUACAGCUGACAGACAGACAGCGCCUGGCGCUCUGUCGGCCCUGAUUAGCAUGCACACGGUGAAGUGGGAGGAAGAGUAGGAGAAAGAAAGAAAUGCUGAAGUGCUGCAAGUUAAUUUACUCCCCCAUUUGAGUUUGGGCGGAGAGAGUUUUGUGAGUCUGUUUGCCCGCUUUUACAUUGUUUGAUAUCUAUACCAUGAGUGUAUAGCGCUCAGUGUGCGUGUGUGUCUGAGUGUGUGUAAUCGUACAGAAUACCAAUUGUUGGUGCAACAGUCAAAGCCCCCAGGCUCCUUCAUUGUACUUCACAGCAAACCACCAAUCACCAGUGAAAGCCCACUUUGCUCCAUAAAAACAAUAAAGACAACUCUCCAUGCUUUGUAGAAUAAUAACUGAAAAGAGGGGAAGGGGGGGGGGGUGUCUCACAUAUUACAUAGCAGGUCAAGUAUGGAUGAGCGUGCGCAUUGUAUAAUGGCAGGAGUAAACGGUGCACAACAAGGACAAAUUGAGAUGCUCUAACAAAGCAAUUACAUCUUCUAAUAAAGCUGUAAUUGUGUUUCAUUAUGGCGAGACGACAUCUAUUUGCAUCAUUCUUUAUUCCCUCGUUCAUUGAGUAGUGCCUGCUUGCUAACCUCUGACUGGCUCAAACAAUGCUUAUUAUGCUUAUGGUGGAGGACGCACAAACACUUCCAACACACAACCGCACGCACACACAUGUGCUGUCAGACAAUGAAGUAAAGGGAAGCCUCCAGCGUCACGGCGUAGAUCUCUCCAUUGAGAACCUGUAAUUAUAAAGCCCGUCUCAAGAUAAAUCAAUUAACGCCAACAUAUAGCUUUUAAUUUAAUCCGGAGCUAAUUAAAGUGAGGAGACAUGUGAGAGGGAGAGAGGGAGGGAGGGAGAUAGAGGAGAGGGUGGUGGUGGUGGAGGUAAGACAGUACAGGAGGUGUGUGUGUGUGUGUGCAUGUGUGUGUCUGCGUGUGUUUGCACGGAGGAUGGGGGAUUGUCUCAGUCCCCUGGUUCAACCUUGCUCAGCAGAGAUGAUUGAAAUGAACUCCGUCGGCACUUUGGUUCUGGGAUCUCCGCUGUUGGCCCAACAUCACUGAACGUCACCUGGAGCUGUCUGACUGACAGGUGACACUUUAAUUGAAAUAGUUUUUCUGCUCAUUAAAGGAAGGAGAGUUAACCUUGAACAGGACAGACAUGACUAAAUGCUUAAAAGCAGACAGACUUAAAAAAAGCAGUUUGACUGGAAGAAGCUUUUUUUAUGCCUGGUAGAUGCAAGGAAAUCGACACAGGGCUGGGGCUGCCAACUGAGUAUCUGAUUACCCAGAAUGGAGGAGAAGAAAGACACUUUUAGUUCUGCUUUUGCCAUGCCAACAGCCUAUUUAUGAGAUUGAACUUUAUGGUAUCAAAAUAGAUGCAAUUUUUAAGCACAAGAUAGACUGGAUAUUCAUGAGACGUGUCUGAUAAAACCUGAACUGUCCUCCAUUUGGCCAUAGCUGCAGUUCAGUGGUUCAGAAUAUGUUUAUUACACGGUGUUAUGACUUUUUAGAGUUCAUAAUUUGACUCUUUAAAGUAAGAAAAGCAGAGAUUAGCAGAUAACAUGAACAAAGUCAGGAGUUUGAUGUCAAGGCAGUGGGUUAGCAUGCACUGAUAAAUCAACUAAAAGGAAUUUAUCAACUCUCUCACACUAAACCCAAAGAUGAGCCAAGUAUGACUGCUUUGAUAAGUACCAAGUAAGAUAUAGUAGAUACAGUGCUCAGGAAGUGACCUGGCACCUCUCUAGCUACCAGGCCAAAGACCAGAUAUGAAUUAGUAGGGCUGGGUGAUAUGGCCUUAAAACAAUAUCAGGAUAUAUUGAUCAGUUCACCUCAAUAAUGAUAAAUAGACGAUAACUACUCCACAAGCUGCUCACCCCCUCCUACAUUAACUUUGUCUACUUCAGCCACUACAACUUUUGAACCGUCCUCCAUCUCCUCACCUGUCUUUCCCUCUUUGUUACUGAUUUAAGGGGGUGGAGUCAUGUCUCUGAUGUAGGACAGCGUCUUAAAGGGACAUGAGACCAUAGUCUACCUACACACAUCCAAAACCAACUUUUAUUUAUUUUUGUUUUUGACACCGAAUAUAUUGACAUGGGCAAAAUAAGGCUGGUUAUUGUGGUAAAUUUCAGUAUCAGUAAAUUUUUGGUUAAUCGCCCAGCCCUAAGAUAUAGUCAAUAUAAACAGCAGGUCAACGUUUCAACACACUCUGGGUGCUGACUGAUGUAGUAGUUUAUCUGCACACCUGAUAGACUGUACAAAGAAAUGAACAGAACAGAUUUCAUGUGUGAAGUCGUGGUGUCUAAGAUAAGAUAAUCUUAUGAUAAUAAGAUUAUUAUCUUAUUAUUAUAAUAAGAUAAGCUGUCUCAGUCCAUCUAGGAUUCACAGGCUUCUUCUGAUAUUAGUGUGGCCUAAGACACUUUUUUUUAUGUUUGCAAAAGUUGCGAUGCAAGUUACUACAUUUCUAGGCUUUUUAGUAAAACUUAUCCAUGCCAGACAUUAACUUUGAGGGAUGUUACAUGUUGACACCUGCUGGGAAAAUCGCUGAAAUUUAGCAAAAGUGUGAAAUUAUAAAAAAGCUGCAGGGUUCGGUUGCAAUUGCACGACUUUGCUGCAUCAAGAUAUUACAACUUCCUGUGGUGAUACUUGCAAAUCUGGCUUUGCUCAUUUAACUACAUGCAUAGUGGACUAUAUAAUGUAGAAUCAGAUCUCUGAGAUGAAAUAGGCUUCAUGAUACAGACCUAGUAAGAAACUAUUAAAUGUUGGCGUCCGUGAAAUGCAACUUCAGCUUCUCUUAAAGCUUUAAUUUUUUUAUAAGGAUGUAAUGCAAGUAAAACCUGUGUGAGCAUUUAAUUUGGAAAUUCACACUAAGCCAAAGAUUACACUUGGGGGAACUAAGAUAUACGCCCAGUUAUGAAUAUAAAUCACAGAUUAUUAAACUCUUUUUUUAAGGUAUUUGGAAAGUGGUGUCACAACUCCAAACUAAUCAAAGAGAGAAAACAAAAUAAUGAGUAAAAGAAAAACUACUGAACGACAGAGAGCAGUGACAGACCUCUCCGCUAUCCUCUCUCAUUAUUUGGUCACAGGACACACUGCGAGGUGACAGCAUAUUGUGUUGCACAGACAAUCACACGUUCACACACCAAGUCUCAGAGGCAAAAAUCUACAAUAGCACGAUUUAUCUCACACUGCUCUUAUUGAUCUUCAGCUUUCUUGUGGGUUGCCCGCGUUCACAGUUAGCGCGAGUUGAAAACUGGCAUUAGAGGCUGGCACAUCAUUAGGAGAAGAGACAGGACAAGCAGGAGUUUGUGGGCGGUGUAAAUGGACAAUAUUGUCGUCAAUUAGAGCAAACUUUUGACUCGACUUCUGCUUCUUUGUCACCAACACUGCUGUUGUAUUUUUAAUCUUCGCUAAUUUACCGGCGCUCACGCAAACUAACACAAAUAUUGGUCUUUUCCUUACUAUUAAAAAAAAAUGCAAUUUAGGGACGACAACAGCUCAUGAAUAAAACAACAACAGAGAAAAACGCUAAGGGAGAGUUAUUCAUCUACGUGUCUUUAAAUGAUACUCAUGGAUCAUGUUAGUGAGCUUUAAAUGAGUGAAGUUGAGACGUGGCUGGAGGGAAGCGGACUGAAGCGCUGCCUGGUUACUUGGAUGACAAAGCUGCCUUUCAGACACUCUGGGUAAUUAAAGUCACAAAUGAGGGAUUUAGUUAUUAUACAUAUUUGGGGGGGAAAGGAAGAGAAAGACACAAGCGCAUGAGAACUAAGGGAAAAGAGGAUGGAUAGAGAAACAGAGACAAAUGAGAGGAAAACAGAUAAGAGAUUAAUUGGACGAUAUACCAUCUGUCCAUCUAAUACAUCAACUAGCUACACUGCUGUUAUGUUUCCAACAAAGACAUCAAAUCUCUAUUAUUUUUAAUACUUGCAUACACUAUAAUCCAUAUUGACACAACAUAUUGAGGGAUUAUGUGUGUGUACAUAGAGCACAUGACCGUUCUCUCUAACCCUCUGUGCCCUAGGGGAUCAUAAAAUGCUCAUUAAUUCCUUAAAUUAGCUUAAACGCCCUUAUUGAACGCCACCUUCAUCAUUAUUUUUUUGCUUAUUAACUAUUCCUUAAGUGGGCUGCCGAGGGUCCUGUCAGGUCAAAGGGACGGUAUGUGUAUGCGCGCGUGUCACGGGGAGAGGGAAAAGCCAGCACAGAGGCAGACCUAACCCUCUCUUAUCCCCAUGUCUCUCUCACUCGCCGAGCGCAGGGGCCUAUCGCUGUUGCCUUGGUGACGCUGGCUGGCAGCCUGAUAGGAAAAGAGGCUGGCAAAUGGAAAAUGUCAAUUACUGCCGGAGAUAUGUAGAUCUGAGUGAGAGGCUGCCGCAGACGGGGAAUGAGGAAGAGGAGGGAAAAAGGGGGGGAAAAGAGGAAGAGAAGAACGGUUGAGGAGAAUACCAAAUGUAAAGAGGUGCGGUGUGGUGUAUGAGACUGCAGCGGGGAAGAGACAGAGAAGAGGAUGGAAAGAGACAGGGGAGAGGGAAGUUGAUGGCCAAAUAUAGCAGGAGGUUACAGAGAGGUGGGGGUGGGAGAGGGAGGGGGUGAUGGCACGGGGGUGUUAAUGCAGGAGAUGAGAGGCCGAAUUGAGCGCUAGCUGCUGACAGGGAACGUCUGUCCACAUCUAUUAUAACACCUUUCCUUUCUCUUAGGCGAGGAGCGAGGCUGCAUGGUUGUGUUCAUUAUUCGUCUCUUUUCUCCGUCUCUAUCUCCCAUCCACAACUUCACCACCAGCCUUCUACCUCUAACUGGCAAUUUGAUUAGGCCAGGGAGAUAAGGUCACACAGGAGAGGAGAAGAGAGGAGGGUAGGAGAGGGGAGAGAGUAGGGGGGGAAACAGAGCAAGAGCCAUUCUGGUGUAAUCACAGCAUUGAUCUCCUAAGCAUGUGGCCUGUGUAGAUUAUGGGACUGAGUUAGGUCCAUCAUUGGCUUUGGAAUCCAAGAUAAGUGUGCGCCUGCCUGGCUGUGUGUAUACGACUGAAUCCAGCGACGCAGUUAAUCAUGCAUGCAUACCCUGCAUGGUGCAUAUGUGCCUCCCCUAUUUAUGUGUCUUAAGGUGGAUGUAUGCAUCUGCUAGGUGUGUGUAUGUGUUUAUAUGUGCAUUACAAGAUGAGUGUCCUGUUUCAGUGUGUAUCAGUCAUCCUAAGUUGAAUUAAUGUGUCCCUACCCCCAUUCCAAUUUCCAUCGGAGGUCUCUUGACCCUCCCACUCUGCAGACACAUAAUGGUCCAUUUGGGGUUUAGCAGCAGGCAUUACCAAGGGUGCAUGGAGACAGUGAGCGAGACUGUAUUUCCAUAAGACUGGGACACAGAGGCCCUUCUAUACAUAUAUUACCCCCCUUUGUGUCUGAGGGGUCUCAUGUGGCAUUUGUCUACUACACCGGUAGAAAGAUGCACUACCCAGGGAGAAAUGCAAAGGACACACAAGACAGGAUGCAUACGCAGCCUGAUGUGAAAAUACACAAUUCAUAUACUGUACACAUAAGAACUCCUAUAGCUGUUAUCACACAUACAUAGACACUAAUAUAUUCAAACACACACACACACACACAUGAAUGCAGACAUAUACGCAGAUAUGUGAGAUAUAAAGGGAGCCACACAGCAGCCUGACUGUGAUUGACACUGAUAAGUUCUGAAGAGAGACACCCUACCUUUGCUGUCAUAACAUCACCGUACAGUCUCAACACCUUGAUGUAUUAGAGAUCUGUGUAACCUAUUGUAAAGAGCGACUAUUUUUUAAGUGGUUAUGAAACAGUCUCGAUUUAACGUCGAUUCCUCUAUGUGACCUGUGGAAAUGUAACAGAUGUAAGCUACUGCAGAAGAUCGGCUGUAGUUAUUUUUAACACCUGUCUCUGCUGUCACUGAGUCCCACUUCAGCGCAGUAAUUCACGGCAAACUGGCAGGAGUCUUGAUUUCUCCUGCAAUGUUUCGCUGUGAGUGAAUGAGCGUGGAUGACGGUUGAAAAGAAGCGGUAGAGAGUUCAGGUUUGGAUCCCUGGUUGAGCUGUUUGCCCUAUAUGCAGGGGCUAUAGUCUUCAAUGCAGGAAGCUCGGGUUUAGACCCAGCCUGUGGCCCCUCACCUCAUGUCAUUCCACACUCUCUCUUUCCAGUUUGCCACUCUAUCACUGUCCUUUCCCUUGAAACAAAGCCUAAAACGCCCUGCUGCUUUAUAACUGAUGCAACAAAUCAGUAUCUUGUUUUACUACAAGCCAAGAAUCAGUUAUCUGAUUCUAAAGAGUGAAAAAGGUACAGAGCCAGGGAGGUGACAUGAACUUUUACUUUUUUUAAUUUACACGGGCAAUUUAGUUUCUUGCACGUGUUUUAUAUGUAUCUCACACAUGCGUUUAAAACGUAUCUCGUAAGUGCGUUUUAUCUGUAUCUUGUGCAUGCGUUGUUGUAAAUAAUCCUGUGCACGCCCCAUUUUUGAGAGAAGACUGACAGUGUCAUGAACAGAGAGCAUAUUAUCAACACUUUCUUUAAUUUAGGUAUGAGUCACAAAGAGAUACUAAAUAGCUUAGCCACAGUUGGUAUUGUUUCGAGUAUGAGACACCUCAUCAGGAUCCUUAAAGCAUAGUGACUUUGCUGUCAGCGAUAUUUGGACUUGCAGGAAGUGAUUUUGUUUAUUAAUGAACAGUUAAAUCGUACUUGCGAUAUAAUAAAAUGACCUGUGAAAUAUUAAAAUGAAAAAAGAAGCUAAUGUCACCUCCCAGGCUCUGUAAAAAGGUUUUUAAUGCAGCAAGAAAAAAAUUACAUCUUUUUUUUUUUUUUUUGUCUUUUUUACAGGGCACAUGUGUACAAGAAAGGGUCAGCAAAGAGAGCUGAGGUAAAGCAAGAUGUCGCCAAAGUUUAUAAGAAAAGGAAGCGCCUCACAGCUGCCUGAAGUAUUCGUCUUUAUGUUUCUGUUUUUGACCCCGCUGAGUAGGGCUGGGCGAUAAACCGAAAAUGUACAAUUACUGAUGUCAUUUUGCCCAUAUUGGUAUAAUCGGU